rnacentral:lncRNA from 1 species
GGCUUCCUCCUUCGCGAUUGGCGCCGGUACGUGCGCUUCCUCCCCUCGCCUCUGCUGCUCAGAUCUGGUCGGGUACGGUGGUUGGUCCUGUUAGAUCUAGCUGCGCAAUCAUGGUGGGGUGGGUUCGUUCGGGCCGUAGAGCUGCCGCGCUGGGUUGCGAUCUGGCCUGCCGCUUGCCAUUACCUGGGGCGCCGAGCUGCUGUGUGCGCGAGAUUCCAUCGUUUUGCUGCCGAUUCGGCGAACGCCUGCUCGAAAUUCGAUGCACUUGCCAUGUGUUGAUGUGAUCCAGUGCCUCCAGGUUCAGUACACUAUGAUUAUAGCUGAGUUAGAGGAAUUGACGUACAAAUCUAUCACUAUUAGUGUUUAGUUGCUUCGAAGUGAACGAUGCAAGGCUUCGCACCAUGACUUGUGUUAAUGAUAUCAAAAUGGUUCAUCUUGCUGCAACUUGUCACGGUUAGCUGAAUGAUGUUGUAACCCAGUGACUUUGCAACCUCAGUACACUAGGAUUUUAGCUGAAUAAAAGCAAAUGAUCGCUUAGGAUUUGCCAUAUGAUGAUGAGAUCUACUGUCUUUGCAGCUUUUGCAGCAUGAAUUUGGCUGCAUAGGAGCGAUUGCCAUACAAAUUGGUCACUGAAGUUGUGUUUUCGCAUUAGGAAUAUAUUUGUGUGUCUGCCUUAAGUUUUUUAACCAUGACCUGUGAAUAUGAUAUAAAAUGGUUCAGCUUGCUGCAACACUUUUUAAACCUGUGAUUUUGUGGUUGAGGAUGUUGUUUCUGAUUCAUGUUUCUCGAUCCGUUCAUGCAUGCAACGUCGGGGAUCAGUGCCUCGCCGUCGGGGAUCAGCGCCUAUUGAGCUUGCGCUUUGUUUGUUAUACACCAAAAUUGCUUUACACAUCCAUUCUAGAUGGUCGUCACAUAGGACUGCAUGAGCUCUAUUGAACCUGCUUUCUACUUGUACAAGUUAUGCCACAUCGGAAGAUUGCCUUUUGCAUUUACACUUGCUAUAAGUGUACUUGUGAUAUGUGAGACAAGUUUUGACUCUUUCACGCUAGAUCUAUGACAAUGUUAUAUUAAUCAAUUAGCUCGUGGGAAUUGACUAUAUUGGUAUUAUAAGUGUUGCAUGUGUAAUUAAUAAAUGGAAGAAAUAACACCUGCUUGGAAUCUCCCAGUCCUGGCGCGUGUGAUCUGACUGGGUUGCUUUGCUGUGUGGUUGCAGGGCAAGGUGGUGAACCCGCUAUUCGAGAAGAGGCCAAGAACAUAAUAUUUUCAUAUUUGCCAUCUGAACAAGUUACUGUUAUCCAAAUGAUUUUGCCUAGAAUAACCUAUUAUUCACCAUUGGUUCAGUAGAUGUCUAUGUAGUAGAAACUUACACUACCAGUGAUAGUUUGAAUCUAAGAACUCACCCUGUUUAUCUGAUCUUUGUAGCUGCUAGAUUUGAGUGGUAUCCUCACUAUAUUCUUCCAUGGUAUUGUGAUGUCACAUUACACCUAGCAUAAUGUGACAGAGAGCUCAAGAGUUGCAACAAAGUAAUCUUAGUUCUUAGUCUGUGUAAUUUCAAUAUAAGUAAUCUUCUGUUCAGUCAAAAACUGCUGCACGUGCUACUACCAGUAGUGCUUGUGAUUUUGUUUUCCUCUUAAUUUCUGUACAACCG